rnacentral:tRNA from 1 species
GCCGGAGUGAUGGAAUUGGUAGACGUGCUAGACUCAAAAUCUUGUGGGCGUACGCCCGUGUCGGUUCGAGUCCGACCUCCGGCA